ensembl:lncRNA
UUUUUUUUCAAAGUGAGUGAGACAGAAAGAGAGACAGAGUGGAAACAAGUGAGAAAGUAUUGAGAGACUACAAACAUUUACUUUUGAGUUUUGCUGCUCAAGAAUGGAAAGAAGAGAAACUAUUGGCUGAUUUUUGCAAUCUGCAACAGUUUCAGAGGAUCUUCUCCAUGAGACACUGUGACUUCUGGUUCCUAUCACCACCAUUGUAAAUCUGAGAAGCUU